GCUCGCUUGGCACAGCGGUAAUGCGCCUCACUAGUAUAUCAAAUGUUCUACUGAGAGAAGCAAUGAGGAGAUGACUGGUUCGACUCCAGUAGUGAGCA